AGUGAACGCUGGCGGUAGGCCUAACACAUGCAAGUCGAACGGCAGCACAGAGGAGCUUGCUCCUUGGGUGGCGAGUGGCGGACGGGUGAGGAAUACAUCGGAAUCUACUCUGUCGUGGGGGAUAACGUAGGGAAACUUACGCUAAUACCGCAUACGACCUACGGGUGAAAGCAGGGGACCUUCGGGCCUUGCGCGAUUGAAUGAGCCGAUGUCGGAUUAGCUAGUUGGCGGGGUAAAGGCCCACCAAGGCGACGAUCCGUAGCUGGUCUGAGAGGAUGAUCAGACAUACUGGAACUGAGACACGGGCCCGACUCCUACGGGAGGCAGCAGUGGGGCAUAUUGGACAAUGGGCGCAAGCCUGAUCCAGCCAUACCGCGUGGGUGAAGAAGGCCUUCGGGUUGUAAAGCCCUUUUGUUGGGAAAGAAAUCCAGCUGGCUAAUACCCGGUUGGGAUGACGGUACCCAAAGAAUAAGCACCGGCUAACUUCGUGCCAGCCGCCGCAGUAA
rnacentral:rRNA from 1 species